GUUGAAGUCUGUCCCAAUGGGGCUUUUACUACAGCCACAGAUCACUGGAAACAGCUCAUAGAGUAACUCCGUGGUCUUGCCUUGCUCACAAGACUGCUAAAUCUGUGGGAAGGAACUAUAAGACAGUU